AUUGAACGCUGGCGGCAUGCUUUACACAUGCAAGUCGAACGGUAACAGGCCUUCGGGUGCUGACGAGUGGCGCACGGGUGAGUAAUGCAUCGGAACGUACCCAGAGGUGGGGGAUAACGCAGCGAAAGCUGUGCUAAUACCGCAUGUGAUCUGAGGAUGAAAGCGGGGGACCGAGCAGCAAUGUUUGGCCUCGCGCCUUUGGAGCGGCCGAUGUCGGAUUAGCUAGUUGGUGGGGUAAAGGCCUACCAAGGCGACGAUCCGUAGCUGGUCUGAGAGGACGACCAGCCACCCUGGGACUGAGACACGGCCCAGACUCCUACGGGAGGCCGCAGUGGGGAAUUUUGGACAAUGGGCGCAAGCCUGAUCCAGCAAUGCCGCGUGCGGGAAGAAGGCCUUCGGGUUGUAAACCGCUUUUGGCAGGAACGAAACGGUGUCCGCUAAUACCGGGCGCUAAUGACGGUACCUGCAGAAUAAGCACCGGCUAACUACGUG
rnacentral:rRNA from 1 species